rnacentral:rRNA from 1 species
UACAGAGGUCUCAAGCGUUGUUCGGAUUCAUUGGGCGUAAAGGGCGCGUAGGCGGGGAGGUAAGUCGGGUGUGAAAUCCCUCGGCCCAACCGAGGAACUGCGCCCGAGACUGCUUCUCUUGAGUCCCGGAGAGGAAGGUGGAAUUCCCGGUGUAGCGGUGAAAUGUGUAGAGAUCGGGAGGAACACCGGUGGCGAAGGCGGCGACCUGGUCCGAUACUGACGCUGAGGCGCGAAAGCGUGGGGAGCAAACAGG